GUUAAAACUCAAAUGAAUUGACGGGGGCCCGCACAAGCGGUGGAGCAUGUGGUUUAAUUCGAUGCAACGCGAAGAACCUUACCUGGUCUUGACAUCCACAGAACUUUCCAGAGAUGGACUGGUGCCUUCGGGAACUGUGAGACAGGUGCUGCAUGGCUGUCGUCAGCUCGUGUUGUGAAAUGUUGGGUUAAGUCCCGCAACGAGCGCAACCCUUAUCCUUUGUUGCCAGCGGUUAGGCCGGGAACUCAAAGGAGACUGCCAGUGAUAAACUGGAGGAAGGUGGGGAUGACGUCAAGUCAUCAUGGCCCUUACGACCAGGGCUACACACGUGCUA
rnacentral:rRNA from 1 species